GACCACUUUGCCUAGAGGUAAGGCACCCAAGCAGUAUUAGGUAGUCUUCCUUUCCUGUUAUCUGGGGAAGGUGGGUUCGAAUCCCGCAGUGGUCA